rnacentral:rRNA from 1 species
UACGUAGGGUCCGAGCGUUGUCCGGAAUUACUGGGCGUAAAGAGCUCGUAGGUGGUUUUGUCGCGUUGUCCGUGAAAACUCACAGCUCAACUGUGGGCGUGCGGGCGAUACGGGCAGACUGGAGUACUGCAGGGGAGACUGGAAUUCCUGGUGUAGCGGUGGAAUGCGCAGAUAUCAGGAGGAACACCGGUGGCGAAGGCGGCGAUCUGGCCCAACUUGACACUGAGACU